rnacentral:rRNA from 1 species
GUUAAGUCCCGCAACGAGCGCAACCCUCGUCGCUAGUUACACUCUCUAGCGAGACAGCCUCCCACAAGGAGGAGGAAGGUGAGGAUGACGUCAAGUCAGCAUGGCCCUUAUGCCCUGGGCUACACACACGCUACAAUGGCCGGUACAAUGGGCUGCGAAAGCGCGAGCUGGAGCCAAUCCCACCAAAGCCGGCCCCAGUUGGGAUUGCAGGCUGAAACCCGCCUGCAUGAACGUGGAAUCGCUAGUAACCGCAGGUCAGCACACUGCGGUGAAUACGUUCCCGGGCCUUGUACACACCGCCCGUCACGUCAUGGAAGCCGAGAAUGCCUGAAGUCCGUGGGCUAACCCGCAAGGGAGGCAGCGGCCGAGGGUGGGGCCGGUGACUGGGACGAAGUCGUAACAAGGUAGCUGUACCGGAAGGUGCGGCUGGAUCACCUCCUUU